rnacentral:rRNA from 1 species
AACGAACGCUGGCGGCAUGCCUAACACAUGCAAGUCGAACGAGACCUUCGGGUCUAGUGGCGCACGGGUGCGUAACGCGUGGGAACCUGCCCUUAGGUUCGGAAUAACUCCCCGAAAGGGGUGCUAAUACCGGAUAAUGUCUUCGGACCAAAGAUUUAUCGCCUUUGGAUGGGCCCGCGUUGGAUUGCUAGUUGGUAGGGUAAAAGCCUACCAAGGCGACGAUCCAUAGCUGGUCUGAGAGGAUGAUCAGCCACACUGGGACUGAGACACGGCCCAGACUCCUACGGGAGGCAGCAGUGGGGAAUAUUGGACAAUGGGCGAAAGCCUGAACCAGCAAUGCCGCGUGAGUGAUGAAGGCCUUAGGGUUGUAAAGCUCUUUUACCCGGGAUGAUAAUGACAGUACCGGGAGAAUAAGCUCCGGCUAACUCCGUG